AGCGAGACUAGAGUCACAUCCUUACACACUCAUUGUCUUGGUGUGCUAUAGUUCUCGCAGAGAAAUUUUCUUUGCUAAUUCAUUGGCUGCUGCGUUUCAUUGGCCCAGCCAAUCACCCGCUCAGAAACAUCA